GACGAACCGUACGAACGUUAUUCGGAAUCACUGGGCUUAAAGGGUGCGUAGGCGGCGCGACAAGUUGGGUGUGAAAUCCCUCGGCUUAACCGGGGAACUGCGUCUGAUACUGGAUGGCUUGAGAUUGGGAGAGGGAUGCGGAAUUCCAGGUGUAGCGGUGAAAUGCGUAGAUAUCUGGAGGAACACCGGUGGCGAAGGCGGCAUCCUGGACCAACACUGACGCUGAGGAGCGAAAGCCAGGGGAGCAAACGGG
rnacentral:rRNA from 1 species